rnacentral:rRNA from 1 species
UAGAGUUUGAUCCUGGCUCAGGAUGAACGCUGGCGGCGUGCUUAACACAUGCAAGUCGAACGAACCUUCGGGUUAGUGGCGGACGGGUGAGUAACGCGUGAGAAUCUGCCCUCAGGAGGGGGAUAACGGUUGGAAACGACCGCUAAUACCCCAUAUGCCGAUAGGUGAAAUGAAUUUCGCCUGAGGAUGAGCUCGCGUCUGAUUAGCUUGUUGGUGAGGUAAUGGCUCACCAAGGCUUCGAUCAGUAGCUGGUCUGAGAGGAUGAUCAGCCACACUGGGACUGAGACACGGCCCAGACUCCUACGGGAGGCAGCAGUGGGGAAUUUUCCGCAAUGGGCGAAAGCCUGACGGAGCAACGCCGCGUGAGGGACGAAGGCCUCUGGGCUGUAAACCUCUUUUCUCAAGGAAGAAGAUAUGACGGUACUUGAGGAAUAAGCCACGGCUAAUUCCGUGCCAGCAGCCGCGGUAAUACGGGAGUGGCAAGCGUUAUCCGGAAUUAUUGGGCGUAAAGCGUCCGCAGGCGGCCUUUCAAGUCUGCUGUUAAAGCGUGGAGCUUAACUCCAUUAUGGCAGUGGAAACUGAUAGGCUUGAGUAUGGUAGGGGCAGAGGGAAUUCCCGGUGUAGCGGUGAAAUGCGUAGAUAUCGGGAAGAACACCAGUGGCGAAGGCGCUCUGCUGGGCCAUUACUGACGCUCAUGGACGAAAGCCAGGGGAGCGAAAGGGAUUAGAUACCCCUGUAGUCCUGGCCGUAAACGAUGAACACUAGGUGUCGGGGGAAUCGACCCCUUCGGUGUCGUAGCUAACGCGUUAAGUGUUCCGCCUGGGGAGUACGCACGCAAGUGUGAAACUCAAAGGAAUUGACGGGGGCCCGCACAAGCGGUGGAGUAUGUGGUUUAAUUCGAUGCAACGCGAAGAACCUUACCAGGGUUUGACAUCCUGAGAACCUCUUAGAAAUUUGAGGGUGCCUUCGGGAAUUCAGUGACAGGUGGUGCAUGGCUGUCGUCAGCUCGUGUCGUGAGAUGUUGGGUUAAGUCCCGCAACGAGCGCAACCCACGUUUUUAGUUGCCAGCAUUUAGUUGGGCACUCUAGAAAGACCGCCGGUGAUAAACCGGAGGAAGGUGUGGAUGACGUCAAGUCAUCAUGCCCCUUACACCCUGGGCUACACACGUACUACAAUGCCACGGACAAAGGGCAGCAAACUCGCGAGAGCUAGCAAAUCCCAUAAACCGUGGCUCAGUUCAGAUCGUAGGCUGCAACUCGCCUACGUGAAGUAGGAAUCGCUAGUAAUCGCAGGUCAGCAUACUGCGGUGAAUACGUUCCCGGGCCUUGUACACACCGCCCGUCACACCAUGGAAGUUGGCCAUGCCCGAAGUCGUUACUCCAACCCUUGUGGAGGAGGACGCCGAAGGUGGGGCUAAUGACUGGGGUGAAGUCGUAACAAGGUAACCA